CCUACGGGGGGCAGCAGUGGGGAAUAUUGGACAAUGGGGGCAACCCUGAUCCAGCCAUGCCGCGUGUGUGAAGAAGGCCCUCGGGUUGUAAAGCACUUUCAGUGAGGAAGAACGCCUGGUGGUUAAUACCCAUCAGGAAAGACAUCACUCACAGAAGAAGCACCGGCUAACUCCGUGCCAGCAGCCGCGGUAAUACGGAGGGUGCGAGCGUUAAUCGGAAUUACUGGGCGUAAAGCGCGCGUAGGUGGCUUGAUAAGCCGGUUGUGAAAGCCCCGGGCUCAACCUGGGAACGGCAUCCGGAACUGUCAAGCUAGAGUGCAGGAGAGGAAGGUAGAAUUCCCGGUGUAGCGGUGAAAUGCAUAGAGAUCGGGAGGAAUACCAGUGGCGAAGGCGGCCUUCUGGACUGACACUGACACUGAGGUGCGAAAGCGUGGGUAGCAAACAGGAUUAGAUACCCUGGUAGUC
rnacentral:rRNA from 1 species